ACUUGAAUUGAAGAGUUUGAUCAUGGCUCAGAUUGAACGCUGGCGGCAGGCUUAACACAUGCAAGUCGAACGGUAGCAGGAGAAAGCUUGCUUUCUUGCUGACGAGUGGCGGACGGGUGAGUAAUGCUUGGGAAUCUGGCUUAUGGAGGGGGAUAACUACGGGAAACUGUAGCUAAUACCGCGUAGAAUCGGAAGAUGAAAGUGCGGGACCGCAAGGCCGCAUGCCAUGAGAUGAGCCCAAGUGGGAUUAGGUAGUUGGUGGGGUAAAGGCCUACCAAGCCUGCGAUCUCUAGCUGGUCUGAGAGGAUGGCCAGCCACACUGGAACUGAGACACGGUCCAGACUCCUACGGGAGGCAGCAGUGGGGAAUAUUGCGCAAUGGGGGGAACCCUGACGCAGCCAUGCCGCGUGAAUGAAGAAGGCCUUCGGGUUGUAAAGUUCUUUCGGUAUUGAGGAAGGGAUGUGUGUUAAUAACAUACAUUAUUGACGUUAAA
rnacentral:rRNA from 1 species